GACGAACGCUGGCGGCAUGCCUAACACAUGCAAGUCGAACGAGACCUUCGGGUCUAGUGGCGCACGGGUGCGUAACGCGUGGGAAUCUGCCCUUGGGUUCGGAAUAACUCAGAGAAAUUUGAGCUAAUACCGGAUGAUGACGUAAGUCCAAAGAUUUAUCGCCCAGGGAUGAGCCCGCGUAAGAUUAGCUUGUUGGUGAGGUAAAGGCUCACCAAGGCGACGAUCUUUAGCUGGUCUGAGAGGAUGAUCAGCCACACUGGGACUGAGACACGGCCCAGACUCCUACGGGAGGCAGCAGUGGGGAAUAUUGGACAAUGGGCGAAAGCCUGAUCCAGCAAUGCCGCGUGAGUGAUGAAGGCCUUAGGGUUGUAAAGCUCUUUUACCAGGGAUGAUAAUGACAGUACCUGGAGAAUAAGCUCCGGCUAACUCCGUG
rnacentral:rRNA from 1 species